GAUGAACGCUGGCGGCGUGCCUAAUACAUGCAAGUCGAGCGAACAGACGAGGAGCUUGCUCCUCUGACGUUAGCGGCGGACGGGUGAGUAACACGUGGAUAACCUACCUAUAAGACUGGGAUAACUUCGGGAAACCGGAGCUAAUACCGGAUAAUAUAUUGAACCGCAUGGUUCAAUAGUGAAAGACGGUUUUGCUGUCACUUAUAGAUGGAUCCGCGCCGCAUUAGCUAGUUGGUAAGGUAACGGCUUACCAAGGCGACGAUGCGUAGCCGACCUGAGAGGGUGAUCGGCCACACUGGAACCGAGACACGGUCCAGACUCCUACGGGAGGCAGCAGUAGGGAAUCUUCCGCAAUGGGCGAAAGCCUGACGGAGCAACGCCGCGUGAGUGAUGAAGGUCUUCGGAUCGUAAAACUCUGUUAUUAGGGAAGAACAAAUGUGUAAGUAACUAUGCACGUCUUGACGGUACCUAAUCAGAAAGCCACGGCUAACUACGUG
rnacentral:rRNA from 1 species